UGGGGAAUAUUGCACAAUGGGGGAAACUCUGAUGCAGCAACGCCGCGUGAGCGAUGAAGGCCUUCGGGUUGUAAAGCUCUGUCUUCCCUGACGAUAAUGACGGUAAGGGAGGACGAAGCCACGGCUAACUGCGUGCCAGCAGCCGCGGUAAUAA
rnacentral:rRNA from 1 species